rnacentral:tRNA from 13 species
UCCCUCGUGGCCUAUCGGAUAAGGCAUCGGUCUCCUAAACCGGGGAUUGCGGGUUCGAAUCCCGCCUAGGGUA